CUCCUGCCUCAGCUGCCCGAGUAGCUGCAACUACAGUUCCUCAGUUUGAAACUACAUGUAAUUACGUAGAAGCUACACUCGAAGAGUUUCUGACCUGGAACUGUGACCAGUCUAGUAUUUCUGGACCAUUUAGAGAUUAUGACCAUUCCAAGUUCUGGGCUUAUGCUGACUAUAAAUAUUUUGUCAGUCUAUUUGAAGACAAGACAGAUCUUUUCCAGGAUGUGAAAUGGUCUGACUUCGGGUUUCCUGGAAGAAAUGGACAGGAAAGUACAUUGUGGAUUGGCUCCUUGGGAGCCCACACACCCUGUCAUCUGGACUCCUAUGGUUGUAACUUGGUAUUCCAGGUACAAGGAAGGUAAUGUGUGUGUGUGUGUGUGUGUGUGUGUGUG
rnacentral:lncRNA from 10 species